rnacentral:rRNA from 1 species
GACGAACGCUGGCGGCGUGCUUAACACAUGCAAGUCGAACGGAAAGGCCCUUCGGGGUACUCGAGUGGCGAACGGGUGAGUAACACGUGGGUGAUCUGCCCUGCACUUCGGGAUAAGCCUGGGAAACUGGGUCUAAUACCGGAUAGGACCACGGUCUGCAUGGAUUGUGGUGGAAAGCUUUUGCGGUGUGGGAUGGGCCCGCGGCCUAUCAGCUUGUUGGUGGGGUGAUGGCCUACCAAGGCGACGACGGGUAGCCGGCCUGAGAGGGUGACCGGCCACACUGGGACUGAGAUACGGCCCAGACUCCUACGGGAGGCAGCAGUGGGGAAUAUUGCACAAUGGGCGCAAGCCUGAUGCAGCGACGCCGCGUGGGGGAUGACGGCCUCGGUUGUAA